rfam:Otolemur garnettii contig162649, whole genome shotgun sequence.
GCUAGGCGUUGUGGCGGGCGCCUGUAGUCCCAGCUACUCAGGAGGCUGAGGCAACAGAAUCACCUAAGCCCGGGAGUUGGGGGUUGCUGUGAGCUGUGUGAUGCCAUGGCACUCUACUGAGGGCCCUGAAGUGAGACUCUGUCUCUAAAAAAAAAAAAGAGACAGAGUCUCACUUUAUCACCCUUGGUAGAGUGCUGUGAUGUCACACUGCUCACAGCAACCUCCAACUCCAACUCCUGGGCUUAGGCGAUUCUCUUGCCUCAG